AUAAAAGAGACGAGGUUGCUUACCCCUGAGCUUGUUGGACAACAGCUUGAAGCUUGCCAGUUUGAAAUUGGACACUUGCCAGGAGUUGCAUAAGGAUUAAAGGAAACAAACCAGGAUGAGAAACUCCGUGAAGGCUAAAGAUUCAACAAUGGCUUGCGGGGACAUAAUCAGAAGGACAGGCCAAUCAAUCAAGCGAUCGAUCAAUCAAUCGACCAAUUCGAUUAGGAAAGCUACAGGGGAGAAGGUCUGGAUGGGACCUUCCUAUUCCCGGUCUCCCGUUUGCUUCGAGCAACGGGAAUAUUUCGGCGGUUUUGGAUUCAGAGAUUUUUUUUAAAUAAAUGAACGGUUAACAGUU